AUUGAACGCUGGCGGCAUGCUUUACACAUGCAAGUCGAACGGUAACAGGCCGCAAGGUGCUGACGAGUGGCGAACGGGUGAGUAAUGCAACGGAACGUGCCCAGUCGUGGGGGAUAACUACUCGAAAGAGUAGCUAAUACCGCAUACGAUCUAUGGAUGAAAGCGGGGGACCGUAAGGCCUCGCGCGAUUGGAGCGGCCGAUGUCAGAUUAGGUAGUUGGUGGGGUAAAGGCUCACCAAGCCAACGAUCUGUAGCUGGUCUGAGAGGACGACCAGCCACACUGGGACUGAGACACGGCCCAGACUCCUACGGGAGGCAGCAGUGGGGAAUUUUGGACAAUGGGCGCAAGCCUGAUCCAGCAAUGCCGCGUGCAGGAAGAAGGCCUUCGGGUUGUAAACUGCUUUUGCACGGAACGAAACGGCUCUGGUUAAUACCCGGGGCUAAUGACGGUACCGUAAGAAUAAGCACCGGCUAACUACGUG
rnacentral:rRNA from 1 species